rnacentral:lncRNA from 1 species
AGAAGCAGGGACAGCUUGUGGCAAUCACCGACUUCUUCGGAAUGGGCGCAGCAGCAGCAGGAACCGGCUUUAAGCACAGAGGGAUGGAGUGGGGUUGUACUCGGUGAGGGAGUUUCUUUGCUUGAUCACAUUCGAGCGUGGAGAGAAGCGGCGGCGGGAGUUGGAGGCAAUCUUUAAUGGCUCCUCAAUCAAAUUAUGCAGAUAGAUGACAACAGCAACAACAUAAUUAUGGUCAACCAUCUGUUUCUCCAUAUUCUCAAAGUUAUACUGUGCGACAUUCGUCUUCUGUGGGAUAGCAACACUCGUCAAGAUUAUGCUGUGACUUUCUUCUUCUUCUUCUUCUUUAUNUUUUUUUUGUAGGAAUUGGUGAUUAUGCACGCAUCCAUUGAAAAGCUGUGGAGUUUUUUUUUUUUCAUGUAGAAGUUUUAUGUUGCCCCAACUUCAACUAUUGAUCGAGCGCAUUCAACCAAGGAAUUUUACUUAUAAAAAUUGAUGGAGUGCAUUCAACCGAAGAAUUUUGCUUGAUGAGGAGUAAUAUAUGCGGAACAGAGGAAUGACUUUACCAGGGGAAUCACGGGGAGCAGUGAGACGGCUUUCAUCAGAG